CCUACGGGAGGCAGCAGUGAGGAAUAUUGGUCAAUGGACGAGAGUCUGAACCAGCCAAGUAGCGUGAAGGAUGACUGCCCUAUGGGUUGUAAACUUCUUUUAUAUGGGAAUAAAAUGUUCCACGUGUGGGCUUUUGUAUGUACCAUAUGAAUAAGGAUCGGCUAACUCCGUGCCAGCAGCCGCGGUAAUACGGAGGAUCCGAGCGUUAUCCGGAUUUAUUGGGUUUAAAGGGUGCGUAGGCGGACAGUCAAGUCAGCGGUAAAAAUGCGGUGCUCAACGCCGUACAGCCGUUGAAACUGGCAGUCUUGAGUGGGCGAGAAGUAUGCGGAAUGCGUGGUGUAGCGGUGAAAUGCAUAGAUAUCACGCAGAACUCCGAUUGCGAAGGCAGCAUACCGGCGCCCGACUGACGCUGAGGCACGAAAGCGUGGGUAUCGAACAGGAUUAGAUACCCCAGUAGUC
rnacentral:rRNA from 1 species